rnacentral:rRNA from 1 species
GAUGAACGCUGACAGAAUGCUUAACACAUGCAAGUCGAUUGGGAAGUGGUGCUUGCACCAUGGUAACCAUGGCGGACGGGUGAGUAACGCGUAAGGAACUUGCCUGCGGGACUGGGAUAACAGCAGGAAACUGCUGAUAAUACCGGAUAAGGUCAUUAAGCUGCAUAGCUUAGUGAUGAAAGGAGACGCCUGCGGAGAGCCUUGCGUCCUAUUAGCUAGUUGGAGGGGUAACGGCCCACCAAGGCGAAGAUAGGUAGCCGGCCUGAGAGGGUGGACGGCCACAAGGGGACUGAGAUACGGCCCUUACUCCUACGGGAGGCAGCAGUGGGGAAUAUUGGACAAUGGGGGCAACCCUGAUCCAGCAAUUCUGUGUGCACGAAGACGGUUUUCGGAUUGUAAAGUGCUUUCAGCAGGGAAGAAGGAAGUGACGGUACCUGCAGAAGAAGCGACGGCUAAAUACGUG